rnacentral:rRNA from 1 species
GAUGAACGCUGGCGGCGUGCCUAAUACAUGCAAGUCGAGCGAACGGACGAGAAGCUUGCUUCUCUGAUGUUAGCGGCGGACGGGUGAGUAACACGUGGAUAACCUACCUAUAAGACUGGGAUAACUUCGGGAAACCGUAGCUAAUACCGGAUAAUAUUUUGAACCGCAUGGUUCAAAAGUGAAAGACGGUCUUGCUGUCACUUAUAGAUGGAUCCGCGCUGCAUUAGCUAGUUGGUAAGGUAACGGCUUACCAAGGCAACGAUGCAUAGCCGACCUGAGAGGGUGAUCGGCCACACUGGAGCUGAGACACGGUCCAGAUGCCGACGGAAGGCAGCGACAGGGAAGCUACGGAAAUGGGCGAAAGCUUGACGGAGCAACGCAGCGUGAGUGCUGAAGGUCUGCGGAUCGUAAAACUCUGUUAGUAGGGAAGAACGUAUGUGUAAGUAGCUGUGCACAUCUUGACGGUACCUAAUCAGAAAGCAACGGCUAACUACGUG